AGAGUUUGAUCCUGGCUCAGGAUGAACGCUGGCGGUAUGCUUAAUACAUGCAAGUCGAACGAAAUUUUUUAAAAAUUUAGUGGCGGACGGGUGAGUAACACGUGAGUAUCUGCCUUUGGGAAGGGGACAACAGUUAGAAAUGACUGCUAAUACCCUAUGUGCUGGUUACAGUAAACGGAUUUCCGCCCAAAGAAGAGCUCGCGCCUGAUUAGCUAGUUGGUAAGGUAAUAGCUUACCAAGGCGAUGAUCAGUAGUUGGUCUGAGAGGAUGAUCAGCCACACUGGAACUGAGACACGGUCCAGACUCCUACGGGAGGCAGCAGUAGGGAAUCUUCCGCAAUGGGCGCAAGCCUGACGGAGCAAUACCGCGUGAGGGAUGACAGCCUGUGGGUUGUAAACCUCUUUUUUCAAGGAGGAAGAUCUGACGUGUACUUGAAGAAUAAGCAUCGGCUAACUCCGUGCCAGCAGCCGCGGUAAGACGGAGGAUGCAAGUGUUAUCCGGAAUCACUGGGCGUAAAGCGUCUGUAGGUGGUUUAAUAAGUCAGUUGUUACAAAUUGAGGCUUAACCUUAAACAAGCAACAGAUACUGUUAAACUUGAGUAUAGUAGAGGUAAAAGGAAUUUCCAGUGGAGCGGUGAAAUGCGUAGAGAUUGGAAAGAACACCGAUGGCGAAGGCAUUUUACUGGGCUAUAACUGACACUCAGAGACGAAAGCUAGGGUAGCAAAUGGGAUUAGAUACCCCAGUAGUCCUAGCCGUAAACGAUGGAUACUAGAUGUUGCACGUAUCGACCCGUGCAGUAUCAAAGCUAACGCGUUAAGUAUCCCGCCUGGGGAGUAUGCUCGCAAGGGUGAAACUCAAAGGAAUUGACGGGGGCCCGCACAAGCGGUGGAGCAUGUGGUUUAAUUCGAUGCAACGCGAAGAACCUUACCAGGGCUUGACAUACUACAGAUCUUUUUGAGAAAGAAGAGUGCCUUCGGGAAUGUAGAUACAGGUGGUGCAUGGCUGUCGUCAGCUCGUGUCGUGAGAUGUUGGGUUAAGUCCCGCAACGAGCGCAACCCUCAUUUUUAGUUAAUAUUCUAGAAAGACUGCCGGUUAUAAGCUGGAGGAAGGUGGGGAUGACGUCAAGUCAGCAUGCCCCUUAUAUCCUGGGCUACACACGUGCUACAUUGGGUAAGACAAUGAGUUGCAAGCCUGUGAAGGUUAGCUAAUCUACAAACUUAUUCGUAGUUCGGAUUGUAGGCUGAAACUCGCCUACAUGAAGUUGGAAUCGCUAGUAAUCGCUGGUCAGCCAUACAGCGGUGAAUUCGUUCCCGGGCCUUGUACACACCGCCCGUCACACCAUGGAAGCUGGUUAUACCCGAAGUUGUUACCUUAACCAUUUGGAGAGGGGCACCUAAGGUAGAAUUAGUGACUAGGGUGAAGUCGUAACAAGGUAGCCCUACUGGAAAGUGGGGCUG
rnacentral:rRNA from 1 species